UACGUAGGGUGCAAGCGUUAAUCGGAAUUACUGGGCGUAAAGCGUGCGCAGGCGGUUCGGAAAGAGAGGUGUGAAAUCCCAGGGCUUAACCUUGGAACCGCACUUCUAACUACCGGGCUAGAGUACGUCAGAGGGGGGUAGAAUUCCACGUGUAGCAGUGAAAUGCGUAGAGAUGUGGAGGAAUACCGAUGGCGAAGGCAGCCCCCUGGGAUGAUACUGACGCUCAUGCACGAAAGCGUGGGGAGCAAACAGG
rnacentral:rRNA from 1 species